UACGAAGGGUGCAAACGUUGCUCGGAAUUAUUGGGCGUAAAGCGCACGUAGGCGGCUUUGCAAGUCCCAUGUGAAAUCCCACGGCUCAACCGUGGAAGUGCAUGGGAAACUGCAGAGCUUGAGUACUUAAGAGGAUCGCGGAAUUCCCGGUGUAGAGGUGAAAUUCGUAGAUAUCGGGAGGAACACCAGUGGCGAAGGCGGCGAUCUGGGAAGAUACUGACGCUGAGACGCGAAAGCGUGGGGAGCAAACAGG
rnacentral:rRNA from 1 species